rnacentral:rRNA from 1 species
AAUUUGCCGUUAAGUUGGGGAUAACUCGCUGAAAGGCGAGCUAAUACCGAAUGUGGCCUCACAAGGCCAAAGUUGUGGACCGUAAGGCCUGACGCUUCAUGAUAAGCCCGCGGCCUAUCAGCUAGUUGGUGAGCCGUUACCUCACCAA